GUGCGAGCGGGCAGCAGGGAAGCGAAAGAAAAAUGAGAAGUGAGCGGGCAGCCACAGAAGAAAGAGAAAGAAAAAUGAGAAGUGAGCGGGCAGCCAGAGAAAAAGAGAAGCGACCGGGCGUCUCCCCUGUGACCCUCGUCCCCUCUUGCCGUCGCCGGCUCCUCUCCUCUCCCCGCGCCUCGUCCGCCUCCUCUCCUCCCUCUUCCUCGUCUCCUCACCCGCACCGCCAGCUCCUUCUCUCUCCUUGCCCCAGCCAUCUCUCUCCUCCCGCGCGCCGUCAGCUCCGAAUCUGGAGGAAGAGGAGAGAUGCUGGAUUUGGAGGAAGAGGAGAGAUGCGGGAUCUGGAGGAGGAAGAGGAGAUCCGGGCGUCCCGGCGGUGGCUCGACCAAAGCUGACCUCCUCAUCUCCAACGCGGCCUCUAACCACAAUGCGCUCUCCCCCCAUCCUCCCCUGCAGGCUCUAUUCCUUUGCCAGGCUGCCCCGCUCUUUUGAUUUGACCCAUUUUCUGCUGCCCCCUCAGUUCUCGACGACGACGCGUUGCUCAUCCCCGCCGGCUUCGAUCUCGUUAUCACGCGUGCCCAUCAAGUUCGUGGACGGCCGCGGGGACGCAUCGGCUCCUUGUGAGGACAAAGCUGAGGACUAGCAUGGUUGUGGGCGCAGUGACCGAGGCGAUGGCAUUGCGUCAUUUUUGCCUCCAUUUCAUUAUUUUUAUGAUCCAGAUAAGGCUGUUUGUCCUGGUUUGGAGGUAGAUGGUGCCAAGGUAGCACAAAGUUCCGAGAAAAGGUAAAAUUCAGACCUGUUUUUUGAGCAGUUUUAACAUGGUCCCUCUUACCCCCUCUUUUCACAUGAGAGGUGAGAGUAUAAAAUAGAUCUUAGCCGUUGAUCUCAUCAAUGAAUGGCUUGAUUGACUCUUACCUUCUUACCUCACAUGUAAAAAAAGGAGGUAAGAGGGACCAUGUUAAAAUUUGCCCUGUUUUUAUCACUGGUAAACUUUUGUGAUCUUCUCUAUUUAUUUAGAUUCAAUUACCAUAGCUGUGGUAAUUUCAUUUUUGUUCCUUGGACAAAUCCUGCAAAUUUUUAAUAGGAAGCAUGUUUCUUGCGUAAUUUUCUCUCGAGACACAAACAGGUGUCACUAUAGGAAAAAUAUCGUAACCAUCAUUCUCCCUAGUCAUAGUUCGGGAAAAAAAACUUAUCAAACAUAUAAUUCCAGCUAUGUUACCCGCAUAGCAAGUGCCAUCACGGUUUGAAAGUCAUCCGGUCUGCACGUUGUAUAUCGCCGUCGAUUGUCAGUGUACCUUCCAUAGCUGUGGUAAUUUCAUUUUUGUUUCGCAUGUGGGUUUGGGUGGCCAAGAGAUUUUGCACCACGAACUGUAGCAACAGCCUGACGGUGUAUCUCCCUUGAGCAACAAUCUCCCAUCGUUUUUGUUGAUGAUUUUUUUGCCAGUUUUUGCCAGUUAAGUACUUUCCUGAAGGAGCUCCCAGUUAGGCUUUGAUGUCUGCUUUAGUCUGAUAUUUCCAUUUGAUCUUCCAAAAGGAGCAACCAUCACAGUACCGAAAUUAUGUUCCACUUGAUGGUUCUUAAUUGUAUUUCUCAGUUUGUGUUUGGACUUCCACUGUAGGUGGUUGCGAAUCUCAGGCUUUGCAUGUCCGUCUAUGACAUCCUUGCCGUCGAAGGCAGAUUCAUCUUUCUAGGAUAGGGCUGCUCGACGUAUAAAGUAAUUUGUGCCAUCAUCUCUGCCAUCCAUUUAUCUUUGCUAAGGAAUGUGAGAUGUUACUACUUACUAAUUUUGUAUGUUGUUUAGUAUUCCACUGGUUGCAUGGUGGAUGUUUUUUGCUGUUAGUUUCUUUAUAUGCUAGCGAAGCUCGAGUUCAAUAGUUCUUGUCAUUACGUAUUUGUUAUUCGCCCCCGUACUGAAUUUCUUUAAAAUACAUCGGUUCCAGUCUUGACUAUGGGCUGUUUUGCCAUGCUUACAUCAGAGCUCAAAAGUAGAUGUCAUCAACAAGUAGGUGAUACCUGUCUGUCCGAUUUAGCAUUUUCGAAUUGCUCACAACAUUUCUUUCGGCAUGUCAAUGAAAAUGGCACCUUCCCGUUCUGAUGUUCAUUAUGUUUCUUGAAGCCCUCACCAUCUUUAUAUUCAUUACAUAUUUUCAAUAGCUUAUUUCUUAAUAACACCUAAAGUGAAUACCAGGAGCUCAUCCUUACCUCCCCGGUCUAUUCUUAUUUGAGUAUUAAGAGCACCUACAUUACUUUGGUUCUGUAUGACUGAUCAAAUUUACACACACCUCAAUCAUAGUAAAGUCUGGAAGGAGACGUAAAAGAAUCAAAGAAAAGUAGAGAUGCACAAUAAUCUUACUUUUCAGGGAUUGUUCUUGGGUUCAGCUUUCGCUGGCAUGUUGUUACUACAGAGUUACGCUAUCUCUUUGAAUCGUCGUAUAUACUCCAAACUCUUAUAGAUUAUGCAACUAGCUAAUGGUUGGAACUUUAAUACUCCGCUUUAUGUUAGUUGCUUGUUCUGACUGUAUGUGAUGAUUAUAUCCAUGUGUAUGUAUGUGGUCUUCAAAGUUGUUGAAAGAUUUAAAGCAUAAGCAAGCUCGUCAAAUUCCUUCGGUACGUCAUAUAUUCUUCUGUCUCCUUCCUAUGCUUUAGAGGUUUAUAGUAAGAAGAUAUGAGAUUCAGUCUUUCCUUUUCAGUAUAUCUGGAAGUAUAUGGGAGAGAUUACUAGGUCACACAUAUAGUUCAGUUAUUAAGUUUCUAAAUAAGUUCAGCCCCAGAGCACAUAUUUUGCAUCCAUUGCUUAUUUAAUCCAUUGAGAUCUAUUCUCUCUGGUUCAUACCGUAUGUUUACAUUUGACUUGGAAUCAGCUGUACUUUUGUUCUGCUUUUGUUGCAAGGUAUAUCAUCAAUUUCCUGUCUGGACGUACUUUUAUUAGUUUGCUUCUAACUGCAUCUUAAUAUGUACUCGGUGGGCUCUACAAGAUUCGAUGAUGGAUGUGUGAAUGUGAGCAAUCAGGAUAUAAAUUUCUUCCAACAAGACAUGCAUUCAGGAAAUAUGUUGCGUCGCAACUUUGCAGCUUCACAUUGUAGGAUUAAUAUUUGGCACCUGACAUGAGAUUGAGAAAUACCAUGCUUUAAUUAAUUAUUAGUACAUACCUUGUGCAGGGCACAUAAAAUAUAUCUGAUAUCGUUUUUUUAUGAAUAUUUUUUUCUUUUCUACCCUAAUUCAGUAGCACCACUUCUUGAUGUUAUUUCUCUAUACGAUUGUUGCUUCCACUAUAGUUUUUCUCAUCUGAAAUGAAUUUGAAUUAGGUCACUUUAGUACCAAGGUAAAAAUUUAUUUGUUCUUGAGAAGAGCCAAAAUCCUAGGUGAUCGUUAGAUAUUAUUGAUAAUUAUCAAUUAAUAAUUAUGUGCUUGACUGUUUGUUGAUGACCAGUAAAUUUGUCACAGUGUGCUUUUGGAAUUUCCAUGUGUUGAAUAAAAUUGGCAAUGGGAUCGGGAGUUGGUGGCAAAGAAUUAUGUGGUUUGAUGACACUAGGGGCAGGAGUGGUGAUUUGACUAAGAAGGUGCCUAAAUAAGCUGUGAGGCUGCCUAAACAAAAAUGUAUUUCUGUUAACCGAUCUAAGUCAUUCUACUAUCUGUAAACCAAUUUAAGUCACUCUACUAUUUGUAAUACAAUCCACAUUGCAUUAUCUUUCUAUCUACA